GACCAAUGAAAGUUGAACUGUGGAAAGCCAAUGCAAGGGAGCAGAAAUACUGAAAACAAACAGGACAUCAAAAGCCGCUGUUCAGGGUCACAGACGCUGCAAUGAGCCUAUCUCAGCAUACAGUGGAGAAGAGUUGGCAAGAAAAUUAUUCAGUUUAUAGCCCGAGGCUGCACUCCUCUCUAUGUAUCUGAUCCAGGCCUAAUGAAGCUGAAAGCCUGGCAGUUGUGAGGAGCAUCUGCAGAGCCACAGAGUGAUGGGCAUCUCAUUCUGCUGCCGUGUCCCAGGGGGGCCGCACACAUCUGAGGACCCUGCCUGCUGUUUGCACAGUGACUCGGUGCCCCCGUGUACCCGUGCUGCAGAAGGUCAUGCCACAUAUGCUGUGGUUGCCAUCUGGAUGGUCUGCUUGACUGCCACAGCAGCCACUCAUGCCACCCUGGACGAGUGAUAUAACCAGCUCGUGGGCUGACCAAAUACAUGUUUUUUGGAAAUAUAACUGCCAAUUUUUUUUGUCAUUUUUUUGUCAACAUGCAUACCACCACAUGAACUCCAGCAUGACUAGUCAAAUAUAUUGGCUAUCUGUACUCAUUGUUAUGAUGGCAGACAGAUAUCACCAUAGAAACCAGGGCACCCAAAUAAUGUCACACAAUAUUACAUAUACGUAUACAUACACAUACCUACAAUAAAUAUAGUGUGUGCAUAGUGUUUGGAAGGGAGUAUUAAUGUUGAUUUUAAUUGAC